UUGUCUUGAACUUCCCAUUCACUGAUCCAACACAAGAGGAUACAAGUAGGGCAACUGAGAUUAAUUUGAAUUCAAGGAUAAUUAUGUGUAGAUAAUAGCUAUCAAUCAAAGCACUAUCCUAAAACCAAUAAAAUCAUUUUGACAAGUUUCAAUUAUAUAUAUUUAUGCCCAAGAACUUUUGAAAUUCUGAAAAUGAAAGAACUUGUAAGACCAUAAAAAACCAAGUGGACCAUUUUAGAAAAUGUAAUGAAUGAUCCAUGCUGUAUGUCACAAGGGUGUCUCAAUCCCACGUCGGAAAGGAACGGAGGUCCUGGGCUUCUUAUAAGCGGGUGUGCUGCACACCCCAUCAGUUGCAUCUUUUGGGGAGAGUGUAAUGACCCCGUGACAAUAGCGGCAUCAAAGCCAACUAGGCCUCUUCCAACUCACGCCAAGUGCCCGGACGGACCAGGGUAGGCAGGGUGGCCGGCAGCUGGAAUCAGGUGGGGGAGAGUGUCACAAGAGUGUCCCAAUCCCACAUCGAAAAGGAACGAAGGUCCUGGGUUCCUUAUAAGCGGGUGUGUUGCACACCCUAUCAGGUGCAUCUUUUGGGGGGAGGGUAAUGACCCCGUGACAUGUAUCACAUAAAAGUUGUUCCCAGGACUCAAAACUCAAAGUGUGCUGAGAUAUCUUCAAUCACAUAAGAUAUCAUAUAGGUAAAA
rnacentral:misc_RNA from 1 species